UUCUGAGCAGCAAGCGUCUGUCCAGCUCUGGCUCUGUCCAGGGGUGGGCUGAGUGCUGGGGGUGCGGUGUGUUUGCUUGUCCUUUUUUUGUUUGUUUUUUGCAUAUUUGGCAUUAGGCCACUCCAGGUCAGCCUUGCUUUACAAGGGUCCUUAUCAUGUAAGAUUUAGAUUUCUCUUUCUCUACCUUUGAGGUGAGGCAUCAUGCCUGUAUGAUCCAAACUUUUUGUUGAAAGCACCAUUCCCCCACUUUUUCUCACCCCCUGUUUGUUGGAGCUCUGGGAGAGUGACUUUGGGUGGCCCCAAGCCUAGGUGUACUGUACCCGGGGGUAUGGCCUCCUGGCUCUUGGCUCAGCUCAAUAUUAAAGGGUCCUCCCCUGUUCUGUCAGCAAUGACCUUCUCCAAUCCUGAGCUGUUCCAGCUGGUAACUGUCAACGGGGCUGCCAUCCUUACAUCAGCUGGUCUUGACUUCUGAGGUUCCUGGUUUUUACCUGACAAUGGACUGACCUUCCUGGGUUCCUGACUGUGGCUUGAAAGUCUUAACCUGAUUUAGCUCCUUUGUUUUCCCUAUUUCACUUCCUGUUUUCCUUGUAGAAUAAAGGAAUGAGGUAGAAAGGGGUGGAGACGUCAGGGUUCGACAGACUUGGGUUCUGUGGCUGCUUAGUAGCCCUGUGAUGCUAGGUAAGCUAGAUUUUCUGGGCCUCGGUUUCCUCAUCUAUAAAAUGAGCUUGACAGCACUUGUCAUUUAGCCUGGUCAUAAGGAUUAAAUGCGACAUCAUGUGAUGUCAUCAUCAUGGAAAGAGCACAACUCGAUGCUGGGGGUGAAGCAGACACUGAUCUUUUGAGCAGCAAGCGUCUGCUCAGCUCUGGCUCUGUCCCGGGGGCCGUUCAGCAGUGAGGAGAGGCGGGGAGCAGUGCACACAGCUACCUGCUCAAACAAGCUUACUGUCUAAAAACGCACACAGACAAGGAAAUGAGUAAAGGAACAAAAGGUGCUGGAUAGUAAAACACUCUGAAGAGAACAUGUCAAGGCCAGGAAUAGGGUAGGAAGACCAGCCACAGCCUCCAAGAGGAGGAGAUGGUUGAGCCAAGACCUAGUUGACAAGAAGAAGCCAGACAUGGGAGGAUAUGAAAGAAGCACUUUCUGAACAGAAGAACUGGCAAGUGCAAAGUCCCCGUGGGCCAGCACAGCCCAGCUUUCUCACUAUCUAAGUUUAUCUGGUCUGUUCAUCGGCUGCCUGCCCCAGUGGAAAUGUUGAUGCCACAAGAGCAGGGACCUCACCUGUGUUUUCACUGUGCUGCCCCACGAGAAGCUCAGUGAAUGAAUGAAUCUGCACUGAAGACUUGGCCUUUAGUGGGUAUGUUGGUCAAGUUAGCCUCAUUGGUCAGGUGAUUCUGACUUCAUUGUGCAAAGGAGAAACUUGUUCUGGAAAGGCAUCUUAUGCCUUCUCCCUGACUCUACUUCUUGGAAAUCAGACUCUGGGGGUCUGCGGCAGACCUUUGGGUCAGUGCUUUGGGUCAGUGGCAAGAUUGUGCAUGUCCUGUUAUGUCCCUGUGGCCUGUUUCAGUACUUGAUCUAGAGGUGAAAAGUUUGGGAGCGUUGGCAGCAGCUGUCCUGAGGUAUACAUGUUCCCUGAAACUGUGACUUCAUUUGCUUAAUUCAUUUCAACCAUCUCCUUUUUAAUUGACCAUUUACAAUCCCCCAGGACCAUAGCAAUGACCUGUGGGGUUAAGAGAAAAUAA